rnacentral:sRNA from 1 species
AGAGAAAAUUUGACGACUCAAGAUUCCUCCGUCCCCACAGACGGCGCCAAAAUGUGGAUGUCGGAUUGACACACUCAAGUAUUUAUUUAUUUAGUGAAAAUGAUUAUUCUUGAGAACAAAUAUAUGAGAAAAUGAAAUAAUGAUUAUAGAGAAAACUAUGAGUUUUGUAAGAAAAUGUGUAUAGUAAGUUUGCACAAAAAUGUGUGUGUCAUUCCGUGGCCUUUGGCCUAUAAUUUAUACCUAAAAAUUACACUUAACUCUCAUUUACACACAAUUCUUGUAUCUUAAAUGCAUCCGUUUCGGUCUUCGAAAUUAAGGAUCAAACGUUCGAAUUUGAAUUGACUUCGAGCUCCUUGGGCCU